GAGAAAGUUGCAAGAAGAGAAAUUGGUAUUUUGACUACCAAUAAAAACACUUCAAGGACACAUAAGAUUAUUGCUCCAGCCAAUCUUGAACGACCAGUUCGUUAUAUUAGAAAACCUAUUGACUAUACAAUUCUAGAUGAUAUUGGACAUGGAGUAAAGUGGUUGCUUAGAUUUAAGGUGAGUACCCAGAACAUGAAGAUGGGUGGGCUGCCGCGUACAACACCUCCAACUCAGAAGCCCCCUAGUCCCCCUAUGUCAGGGAAAGGGACACUUGGCAGCAGUGGGAGUAGUGGAGGGAGCCACCCAAGUAGUCGGAGCAGCAGUCGAGAGAACAGUGGAAGUGGCAGUGUGGGGGUUCCUAUUGCUGUUCCUACUCCAUCUCCUCCCAGUGUCUUUCCAGCCCCUGCUGGCUCUGCUGGCACUCCUCCCCUUCCUGCUACUUCUGCAUCUGCCCCUGCCCCUCUUGUUCCUGCCACUGUCCCUUCCUCCACUGCCCCAGACGCUGCUGCUGGGGGUGCCCAGACCCUUGCUGAUGGCUUCACUUCUCCAACUCCCCCUGUUGUUUCUUCCACUCCCCCUACAGGUCAUCCUGUACAGUUCUACAGCAUGAAUAGGCCUGCCUCUCGCCAUACUCCCCCAACAAUAGGGGGCUCGUUGCCCUAUAGACGCCCUCCUUCCAUUACUU
rnacentral:sRNA from 1 species